rnacentral:tRNA from 1 species
GUUCUUAUAGUUGAAUUACAACGGUGGUUUUUCAGGCCGCUAGUCUUGGUUAAAACCCGAGUAGGAAUU